GCUGGUUGUUUAUAGGUUAGAAGGCAUUGAGCUGGUUGUUUAAAGGUUAGAAAGCAUUGAGCUGGUUGUUUAAAGGUUAGAAAGCAUUGAGCUGGUUGUUUAAAGGUUAGAAAGCAUUGAGCUGGUUGUUUAAAGGUUAGAAAGCAUUGAGCUGGUUGUUUAUAGGUUAGAAAGCAUUGAGCUGGUUGUUUAAAGGUUAGAAAGCAUUGAGCUGGUUGUUUAAAGGUUAGAAAGCAUUGAGCUGGUUGUUUAUAGGUUAGAAAGCAUUGAGCUGGUUGUUUAAAAGUUAGAAAGCAUUGAGCUGGUUGUUUAUAGGUU
ensembl:lncRNA